AACUAUUUUUUUUAAAUUAUUUUUUGUAUGUUCGACAGCUAUUAUACAAGAUCAGCCAGGCGCUAACCAGAAUCCCACUCCCCUUUGCGCGCCUAUAAUGUGACGCACUACUUGAUGUAAACCGUUCAUAUAGUGAUUCGCAUAAAAAAAGUUUAUUAGCGCCUGGAGACGAGGCAGUUCACAACCAGUGGUAUAGUGUCAAUUCAGUUGAUAAAUUGUAGAACUUGAAAAUUUAUGUAUAAACAUUAUAAAUACACGUGUUGUCUGUUGAGUUGCGAAACAGUUUAUGAGCCAAAGUCAUUCAUGUGCAUCGUCUGCGCAUGGGCAGUUCUACAAUAGUCAGAUAUUUCGCAAGUCAGAAAUUUCGCGUUACACCUGUCUUUAGAGGGGAAAUGGUCACAUGAUCAUAUUGAUAUUUUCGUAAUAAAAUAGAUUCCCGAGUAUUGUGGUUGUUGUCAUUUUAAAAUAUGAUUGAUUAAAGCUCCAUAUAGUUCCAUUAAGUGUUCCAUUCUGUAUUUCCAUUGGUGUUCAAACGGACCCAACAUGUUGGACACAACAAUGCUGAAUGAUGUUGGUCCAACAUGUUGCAUCCGUUUAAACAGGACUUAAGUAUAAUUAUUCUGGACUGAGAGAAAUAGCAAUUAUUGUUAAUAUUUAUAUAUAUUUAUA